rnacentral:lncRNA from 1 species
GAUUAACCUAACUCAGAACACUAAUUCAGCUACUACCUUUCUGUGUAUUUAUUCAGUUUCCCCAGGAUGCAGUACUUUGAACAAACCAUGGAUUCCAGAAAAGACAUCUGUUUCCAUCAAGAACUAACAUGGAAUAAUAACAAAGAAGAUGUGGCCACAUGCUCUCAGGUGCAGUCGGAGCAGUCAUAAAAGCAGGCUACUGAAAAAGAAGGAUUCUGCCAAGUAUUAAGCCCCUCUAGCACGCAUUUGCCCUAGGGUAUUCCUUCUUACAACACAGAGCUCAAAUAUAUGCCAUGAAUCUCCAGCACAGCAUGGUGGUUUUUCUCAGGAGGAAAAAAUAUGAUGGCAUUCGUUCAUACAACUUCUUUAUUUUCAAUUGAAAUCAUCAGCUUGGCCUCGAUGAACCAUUUGAAGUCAAAAGGGAAACAAUUGCCCUUGAUAAACUAUCUUUCCUCCUCCCCUAUUCCUUUCUCUUAGUUUUCUGCAUAAAUUAUUAACCUUUCCCCAAUUUGAGGUAGAAACUGAAGGUCAAAGAAGAGAUAUGAGAAGGAGUUUUCCCAUCAAGGGAGGUCCUUUUCUGAUGGAUGACUAAGCCCUGAGAAAUGCUUAGAAAUAGGCAAGAGGGGAUGAAUGCUGCUCUACAUUCAGGUAGCUUUUUGGCUUGGCAAAACUUUAAAAUGUGAUGAAAUCUCUAGAGAGCAAGAAAAAAAAGAUACAGAAAUGGAAAAACCCUUAUGGACCCCAACAACAACAACAACAACAAAACUGUUCUCUAUUACCAUGGUCCCAUCUAUUCCUAUUGAAAUGUAGACCAAGAUGGAUAAGAUGAAUAUUGUAUGUUGACACAGCAAAAUAAUCUGCAGUAACAAAGCCAUGCCUUUGCUUCCUAAAGUUAUCAGAAUGGCACCUUAAAAUUAUGGUCAUAAAGGAACCUGUGAUUGGCCAUACGUUUGAGUUUUCAAGAAGAGAUCUUACACGGAACAUGAGAAAACUACAGUGACUCUCUUGAGAUUUUUCGAAUGACACACAAGCACCAAAGAGGAACUUUUGCCUUUUCGGACAAGUUAAGUACAUUAAAUAUAAUAAGGUCUGAUAAAUCAGAAACAAAAAGUGAAAUUCAUGUUAAGGCCUCAACUCAGUGUUUUAGAAGAGAAUUUUUCUGGGUUUUAUAGUAUCUGACAGUUAAUAGGCCAGGCACAGUGGCUCACACCUGUAGUCUCAGCACUUUAGAAGACAGAGACAAGUGGAUCUCUUGAGCCCAGGAGUUCGAGAACAGCCUGGGCAAUAUUGUGAGGCCCCCAUCUCUACUAAAAAUAACAAAAUCAGCUAUUAGCUGGGCAUGAUGGCAUGCAUCUGUGGUCCUAGCUACCGGGGAGGCUGAGGUGGGAGGAUUGCUUGAGCCUGGGAGGCAGAGUUUGCAGUGAGCCAUGAUUGCACCACUGCAUUCCAGCCUGGGUGACAGAAUGAGACCUUUUCUCAAAAAGAUAAAAAAUAAAUAAAAAAUUAAAGGAAUCCAGUUAACAGUUGUCGCAGGAUGUUAAAGAAUCAGGCUUUAUGGUUUUAAUCAUUACAUAUUCCAGAGGUAAAAUUCUGAGGAAAUCAUUUUUAUGGGUUUAACAGCCAUUCAUACUAUUCUUUAAUGAACAGAGAUUCUGCCACGGAAGAAAGGCUAUUGCAAUUGUCUAGUUUGAGGUUGAUAAAAUUUCUUUUUGACUGGAAAAGAGAAAUUUCCAGUGAAAGGUGAUUUCUUGGCCGGGCACAGUGGCUCAUGCCUGUAAUCCCAGCACUCUGGGAGGCAGAGGCAGGUGGACCACCUGAGGUCAGCGGUUCGAGACCAGCCUGGCCAACAUGGCGAAACCUCGUCUCUACUAAAAAUACAAAAAUUAGCUGGGCGUGUUGGUGGGCACCUGUAAUCCCAGCUACUUGAGAUACUGAGGCACAAGAAUCACUUGAACCUGGGAGGCAAAGGCUGCAGUGAGCGGAGACUGUGGCACUGCACUCCAGCCUGGGCCACAGAGUGAGAUACUGUCUUAAAAAAAAAAAAAAAAAAAAAGAAAGGUGAUUUCUUUACACAGUAGGAACCGGGGGCAAUUAACUUUCGGGCACUUACUUGUACUCAAUUAAUAAUUGAUAUAUAAAUGAAUGUAUCAAAGGCAUCCUGGGAGAUCCCCACAAAUCUGAAACUGCCUACAACAUCCUCCCAAUUUGAUCGGAAUAACUUAAUUGUACUAGGCCUUAGGUUCUGUAAGAAUCCAAAGUGGUGUAAGGUAAGUUUUAUCUGGAAUAGACAGUACAAAUAACAUAGUUCUCCAAAGAAUACAUAAUAUACAAUUGAUGAUGGUAGAAAGUAGAACAAUGGGAAGUGGUUACUCCUUAAGAAUAAUACUUGCUUUCUCCAAAAGGGCUCACUGAGCCACCCAGCAUAUUCCAAGAGUCUAAACAAGGACCGUUGACUAAUUACUUCCAUUAGACUUCCUCUUCGAGAUCCAAAGUUACAUCUGUCCUUCCUCCUUCUCCUUAGAAGAACCAGCUCUCCCAAGAUCUAAGAAGAAAACUCCCAGAAUUAGGCCACGAGGGAGGCUUAUAUGCAAUCAAACUAACCCCAGUGAAAAUGAAAUCACAGUUAGGAGAAGAAGAAAGGACCAGAAUAGUUCAUGAAUUGCCGUACUCCUUACUCUUCUAAUGUAAACAAUAUUAAAAUGCAAUUAUUUCACUAAGGAAAGCUUUUCAAGGUACAGUUCCUUUAAGAAUCAGUUCUGCUGGUAAGGGAACCAAAAAAAUCUCUGUACUUCCUCAAUGGAUUUUAAAUAUAUCAGUAACUCUUCUUGCCCCAAUCCCCAUCAUCCAAAUUUACACUAACCAAAGAAUUUAUGGGUAUAAAAUUACUGUCCUGGGUGGAGGAACUCCUACACAGAAUAGCAACAUGCUUUUAUAGCAAAAGAAGAUGAUGGAGUCUUUAGCAUCCAUGCUGUUUUAUUCAGAAAGAAAAAAAUAUAUAUUGGGGGGGUGGGGGCUGAAGUUAAAGAUAUAUUUUCCUCUUUGCAGCUCUAUAAUUUCAUUCCCCAUAAAAGAGUGAAUCAGACUGAGUUGUCAAAUGAAAAGUAAACUUCAUCGCCUUUGCGAUCAGAAUAAUUUAAUUAGCUUUAUUGGCUCUUACAGGCUGUCACCUUAUUUAUUGGUUUUUCAGCUUUCUUCUCAUUUUCAAUUAGGCUUUAAAAAAACAAAUGCAAAAUCAUUCACUAAAUUCAGAAUAAUUAAAACAAUAUUGUGUUUCCAGUUUGGAAACAUGGUAGAAUGUAUUGCUUCUGGGUACACUUCGGAGAGGUUAAAGUGACAGAGCAGAUAAAAAGGACACUUAGUACACACGUAAAUCAUUUGCAUUACAAAUAAGAUACUUUAGCAGGGGUUGGACUCCCUGCCUGACAGUCAGGAUUAAGUUCCCAUAUUAAUACAUGCAUUUGGUGUGGUUAUUUUGGGUGAAAGACUUCAUCCAUCAAUGCCCUCUGCCACUAAGUAAGGCCAACCUGUAAACUGAUCACCACAGCCUGUCAACACUGGUUACUUAAUUAUAUAAAGAAAAUAUGUUUAAAAGACUUUUGAUAAUUUGGUUAGUAUUUCAACAUCUUUUUCAAGGUUCCUUAAAAUAAUAGCUAAAGCAUUUUUAAGAAUUAAAAACUGAAAACUAUGACUAUUUUUAUGUUUCCUGCUAAUCUUUCUUUUUCUUUUAUUUGCAGAAGGGAAAAAUAAAGAUUCAGUAAGCAUUAAUGAAGAUGAAUAUAAAUGAAAUAAUAUUUUUAAAAGAUAUUUUAAUUAAAAAUUAAAUUCAAUGCAUG